UACGAAGGGGGCAAGCGUUGUUCGGAAUUACUGGGCGUAAAGGGCGCGUAGGCGGCUUAUCAAGUCAGGCGUGAAAUUCCCGGGCUCAACCUGGGGGCUGCGCUUGAUACUGGUUGGCUUGAAUGCGGGAGAGGAUAGUGGAAUUCCCAGUGUAGAGGUGAAAUUCGUAGAUAUUGGGAGGAACACCGGUGGCGAAGGCGGCGACCUGGGUAGAUACUGACGCUGAGGCGCGAAAGCGUGGGGAGCAAACAGG
rnacentral:rRNA from 1 species